CCUGGCUCAGGAUGAACGCUAGCUACAGGCUUAACACAUGCAAGUCGAGGGGCAGCAUGGUCUUAGCUUGCUAAGACUGAUGGCGACCGGCGCACGGGUGAGUAACACGUAUCCAACCUGCCGUCUACUCUUGGACAGCCUUCUGAAAGGAAGAUUAAUACAAGAUGGCAUCAUGAGUCCGCAUGUUCACAUGAUUAAAGGUAUUCCGGUAGACGAUGGGGAUGCGUUCCAUUAGAUAGUAGGCGGGGUAACGGCCCACCUAGUCUUCGAUGGAUAGGGGUUCUGAGAGGAAGGUCCCCCACAUUGGAACUGAGACACGGUCCAAACUCCUACGGGAGGCAGCAGUGAGGAAUAUUGGUCAAUGGGCGAGAGCCUGAACCAGCCAAGUAGCGUGAAGGAUGACUGCCCUAUGGGUUGUAAACUUCUUUUAUAAAGGAAUAAAGUCGGGUAUGGAUACCCGUUUGCAUGUACUUUAUGAAUAAGGAUCGGCUAACUCCGUGCCAGCAGCCGCGGUAAUACGGAGGAUCCGAGCGUUAUCCGGAUUUAUUGGGUUUAAAGGGAGCGUAGAUGGAUGUUUAAGUCAGUUGUGAAAGUUUGCGGCUCAACCGUAAAAUUGCAGUUGAUACUGGAUAUCUUGAGUGCAGUUGAGGCAGGCGGAAUUCGUGGUGUAGCGGUGAAAUGCUAAGAUAUCACGAAGAACUCCGAUUGCGAAGGCAGCCUGCUAAGCUGCAACUGACAUUGAGGCUCGAAAGUGUGGGUAUCAAACAGGAUUAGAUACCCUGGUAGUCCACACGGUAAACGAUGAAUACUCGCUGUUUGCGAUAUACUGCAAGCGGCCAAGCGAAAGCGUUAAGUAUUCCACCUGGGGAGUACGCCGGCAACGGUGAAACUCAAAGGAAUUGACGGGGGCCCGCACAAGCGGAGGAACAUGUGGUUUAAUUCGAUGAUACGCGAGGAACCUUACCCGGGCUUAAAUUGCAGAUGAAUUACGGUGAAAGCCGUAAGCCGCAAGGCAUCUGUGAAGGUGCUGCAUGGUUGUCGUCAGCUCGUGCCGUGAGGUGUCGGCUUAAGUGCCAUAACGAGCGCAACCCUUGUUGUCAGUUACUAACAGGUUCCGCUGAGGACUCUGACAAGACUGCCAUCGUAAGAUGUGAGGAAGGUGGGGAUGACGUCAAAUCAGCACGGCCCUUACGUCCGGGGCUACACACGUGUUACAAUGGGGGGUACAGAGGGCCGCUACCACGCGAGUGGAUGCCAAUCCCCAAAACCUCUCUCAGUUCGGACUGGAGUCUGCAACCCGACUCCACGAAGCUGGAUUCGCUAGUAAUCGCGCAUCAGCCACGGCGCGGUGAAUACGUUCCCGGGCCUUGCACACACCGCC
rnacentral:rRNA from 1 species